rnacentral:RNase_P_RNA from 1 species
CGAGCGAAGGGUGCGGCAGCGCCAAGGCCUUAAACGGUACAGCGAGGAAAGUCCGAGCAUCACAGGACAGGGUACCUGCUAACGGCAGGCGGAGGCGACUCUAGGGCUAGUGCAACAGAAAGAAACCGCAGCGAAAGCUGUAAGGAUGGAAAGGCGAGGUAAGAGCUCACCGGCGUCCGGGAGACCGGGCGGCCAUGUAAACCCUACCCGAUGCAACACCGACCGGGAUGUUAUGGUUGGUCCGGCCGUCCCAAAAGGUGGCACAGAGCAGCGGCGGCGACGCCCUGCCAAGAUAGAUUGCCGCAACAACAGAACUCGGCUUACCGCUUCGGUCGCGUU